AGAGCAUAGGGUGGAUGCCUUGGCGCCAGGCGCCGAUGAAGGACGCGACAAGCUGCGAUAAGCUGCGGGGAAGUGCAAAUGACUUACGAUCCGCAGAUUUCCGAAUGAGGGAACUCACCGCCGGUAAAGCGGCGGUAUCCAUAUAUGAACACAUAGUAUAUGGAGGGGAACCCGGGGAACUGAAACAUCUAAGUACCCGGAGGAAAAGAAAGAAAACAAUCGAUUUCCUGAGUAGUGGUGAGCGAAAGGGAAAGAGCCCAAACCCGUUCAUAGAGAUAUGGACGGGGGUAUGGACCUCAACAAGGCACUAAAGCAGUAUAGACGAACACAACUGGAAAGUUGGACCAAAGGAAGUAACAGUCUUGUAGUCGAAAUAUUGCUUUUAGCCGAGAGUGUUCCGGAGUACCACAGGACACGAGGAAUCCGGUGGGAAGGCGGGAGGACCAUCUCCCAAGGCUAAAUACGACCUGGCGACCGAUAGCGAAUAGUACCGUGAGGGAAAGGUGAAAAGAACCCCGGGAGGGGAGUGAAAGAGAACCUGAAACCCUAUGUUUACAAGCAGACAGAGCGCUACUGACAUAUUGCGCGAUGUCGUACUUUUUGUAGAACGGGCCGGCGAGUUACGAUGCGCAGCGAGGUUAAGGUAUUAAGUACCGGAGCCGAAGCGAAAGCGAGUCUGAACAGGGCGAUAUAGUUGCGUAUUGUAGACCCGAAACCGAAUGACCUAACCAUGGCCAGGUUGAAGCAGUGGUAAGACACUGUGGAGGACCGAACCCACGCUCGUUGAAACGCUCGGGGAUGAGCUGUGGUUAGCGGAGAAAUUCCAAUCGAAUUCGGAGAUAGCUGGUUCUCCUCGAAAUAGCUUUAGGGCUAGCCUCUGUUUUGAGAGUACUGAAGGUAGAGCUCUGAAUGGGCUAGGGGGCUUCACAGCUUACCGAACCCUAUCAAACUACGAAUGACAGAUACUUAUAACAGGGAGUCAGACGAUGAGAGAUAAGUUUCAUUGUCGAAAGGGAAACAGCCCAGACCCACAACUAAGGCCCCCAAGUUACGGUUAAGUGGCAAAGGAUGUGUCACUGCACAGACAGCCAGGAUGUUGGCUUAGAAGCAGCCAUUCAUUCAAAGAGUGCGUAAUAGCUCACUGGUCGAGUGGUGGCGCGCCGAAAAUUAUCGGGGCUAAAACCGUACGCCGAAGUUUGGGAAUAUGAGAAAUCAUAUUGGUAGAGGAGCAAUGUAUAUUGGCUGAAGCGCUAUCGGAAGAGGGCGUGGACGAUAUACAAGAGAGAAUGCCGGCAUGAGUAGCGAGAACGUAGUGAGAAACUGCGUCGUCGAAAGUCUAAGGUUUCCUGGGGAAGGUUUGUCCGCCCAGGGUUAGUCGGGGACUAAGUCGAGGCCGAGAGGCGUAGAUGAUGUACAACAGGCAGAUAUUCCUGUACCAUCGGUAUCCGCCAAAGAGCGAAGCAAUGACACAGUAGGAUAGUCCGGGCGCGGUGAUGGAAAGCUGCGUUCAAAUCACGAGGUUUGCAAGUAGUGAAGUACGCUUGCAGUUGAGGCUGAGUGAUGAUGAGGAGUGAAAAAUAGUAGCGAAGCGGAUGAAUUCACACUGGCGAGAAAAGUUGCUAAGCAGGAUACAGGUGCCCGUACCGCAAACCGACACAGGUAGACGGCAAGAAAAUUGUAAGACGAGCGGGAUAACCCUUGUUAAGGAACUCUGCAAAAUGGCCCCGUAACUUCGGGAGAAGGGGUGCCUGCGCGAGCAGGCCGCAGUGAAGAGGCCCAAGCGACUGUUUACCAAAAACACAGGUUUCUGCUAAUUCGAAAGAAGAAGUAUAGGAGCUGACGCCUGCCCAGUGCUGGAAGGUUAAGGGGAAGCGUUAAUCGAAAGGUGAAGCGCAGAACUUAAGCCCCAGUGAACGGCGGCCGUAACUAUAACGGUCCUAAGGUAGCGAAAUUCCUUGUCAGGUAAGUUCUGACCCGCACGAAUGGCGUAACGACUUGGGCGCUGUCUCAACAGGGGACCCGGCGAAAUUGAAGCAUACGUGAAGAUGCGUAUUACCCGCGACUGGACGGUAAGACCCCGUAGAGCUUUACUGUAGCUUGAUAUUGUGUUUUAGUAUUUCAUGUACAGGAUAGGUGGGAGACUUGGAAGCAAGGGCGUCAGCUUUUGUGGAGUCAACCUUGGGAUACCACCCUUGGACUAUUGAGGCGCUAACGCUUUGCCAUGAACUGGGAAGCGGACAGUGUCAGGCGGGCAGUUUGACUGGGGCGGUCGCCUCCCAAAGAGUAACGGAGGCGUUCAAAGGUUCCCUCAGAAUGGUUGGAAACCAUUCAGAGAGUGUAAAGGCAGAAGGGAGCUUGACUGCGAGACUGACAGGUCGAGCAGGUACGAAAGUAGGACUUAGUGAUCCGGCGGUAGAGAAUGGAAUUGCCGUCGCUUAACGGAUAAAAGUUACCUCGGGGAUAACAGGCUUAUCUCCCCCAAGAGUUCACAUCGACGGGGAGGUUUGGCACCUCGAUGUCGGCUCGUC
rnacentral:rRNA from 1 species